rnacentral:lncRNA from 1 species
GUAAGACAACAGUCUUGGUAAUCUAUCUCAAGCUUUCUCAAGCGGGGAUAAGCGCCUCUAAGCUCUUGAGCUCUCUAGCUCUCUCUUUCUUCCUCUCGCUGAGUUCCACUGUUGCCUAGUUUCCUCUCUGACUUGAUCGUCGGAGGGUCCCCGCCGGAGGCAUCUCUGGUCAGUGAGGACUUUUCUUGCAGGUGCACGAUCCCGACGAUCGGACGACGGGAGGGAUUGACCGCAACAGAUUUGACGCGCC